AUUGAACGCUGGCGGUAUGCUUAACACAUGCAAGUCGAACGAUGAGAAAGAGCUUGCUCUUUCGAUUAGUGGCGGACGGGUGCGUAACGCGUAGGAAUCUACCUAUUAGUGGGGGACAACUUAGGGAAACUUAAGCUAAUACCGCAUACGCCCUACGGGGGAAAGAAGGGGAUCGCAAGACCUUUUGCUAAUAGAUGAGCCUGCGUAGAAUUAGCUAGUUGGUGGGGUAAAGGCUCACCAAGGCGACGAUCCUUAACUGGUUUGAGAGAAUGAUCAGUCACACUGGAACUGAGACACGGUCCAGACUCCUACGGGAGGCAGCAGUGGGGAAUAUUGGACAAUGGGCGAAAGCCUGAUCCAGCAAUACCGCGUGUGUGAAGAAGGCCUUAGGGUUGUAAAGCACUUUCAAUUGGAAGGAAAACCUCGAAGCUAAUACCUUCGAGUUUGACAUUACCUUUAGAAGAAGCACCGGCUAACUCCGUGCCAGCAGCCGCGGUAACAC
rnacentral:rRNA from 1 species